rnacentral:rRNA from 1 species
GCAGCCGCCGCGGUAAUACGGAGGGUGCAAGCGAUAUCCGGAUUCACUGGGUUUAAAGGGUGCGUAGGCGGGCAGGUAAGUCAGUGGUGAAAUCUUCGAGCUUAACUCGGAAACUGCCGUUGAUACUAUCUGUCUUGAAUAACGUUGAGGUGAGCGGAAUAUGUCAUGUGGCGGUGAAAUGCUUAGAUAUGACAUAGAACACCGAUUGCGAAGGCAGCUCACUAAACGCUCAUUGACGCUGAGGCACGAAAGCGUGGGGAUCAAACAGGAUUAGAUACCCGGGUAGUCCCUGUCUCUUAUAC